UGUAUUCACUACUGUAAGUUGCUCUGGAUAAGAGCGUCUGCUAAAUUACGUAAA
rfam:Salmo salar isolate Sally breed double haploid chromosome ssa19, whole genome shotgun sequence.